rnacentral:rRNA from 1 species
CCAGACUCCUACGGGAGGCAGCAGUGGGGAAUCUUCCGCAAUGGGCGAAAGCCUGACGGAGCAACGCCGCGUGAGUGAAGAAGGUCUUCGGAUCGUAAAGCUCUGUUGUCGGGGACGAAAGGGUAGACGAGGUAAUGCGUUUACUAAGACGGUACCCGACGAGGGAGCCACGGCUAACUACGUGCCAGCAGCCGCGGUAAUACGUAGGCGGCAAGCGUUGUCCGGAAUUAUUGGGCGUAAAGGGAGCGCAGGUGGGACGGUAAGUCCGUCUUAAAAGGCAGGGGCUCAGCCCCUGUAAGGGAUGGAAACUAUCGAUCUUGAGUGCCGGAGAGGAAAGCGGAAUUCCCAGUGUAGCGGUGAAAUGCGUAGAUAUUGGGAAGAACACCAGUGGCGAAGGCGGCUUUCUGGACGGCAACUGACACUGAGGCUCGAAAGCCAGGGGAGCGAACGGGAUUAGAUACCCCGGUAGUCCUGGCCGUAAACGAUGGAUACUAGGUGUAGGAGGUAUCGACCCCUCCUGUGCCGGAGUUAACGCAAUAAGUAUCCCGCCUGGGGAGUACGGUCGCAAGACUGAAACUCAAAGGAAUUGACGGGGGCCCGCACAAG